rnacentral:rRNA from 1 species
GACGAACGCUGGCGGCGUGCUUAACACAUGCAAGUCGAACGGAAAGGCCCUGCUUGUGUGGGGUGCUCGAGUGGCGAACGGGUGAGUAACACGUGAGUAACCUGCCCAUGACUUUGGGAUAACUUCAGGAAACUGGGGCUAAUACCGGAUAGGAGCGCCUGCUGCAUGGUGGGGGUUGGAAAGUUUCGGCGGUUGGGGAUGGACUCUCGGCUUAUCAGCUUGUUGGUGGGGGAGUGGCUUACCAAGGCUUUGACGGGUAGCCGGCCUGAGAGGGUGACCGGCCACCAUGGUACUGCGAGACGGCCCAGUCUCCUACGGGAGGCAGCAGUGGGGAAUAUUGCACAGUGGGCGGAAGCCUGAUGCAGCGACGCCGCGAUCGUGAUGACGGCCUUCGGGUUGUAAACCGCUUUCGCCUGUGACGAAGCGUGAGUGACGGUAAUGGGUAAAGAAGCACCGGCUAACUACGUG